ACGGAGGGGGCUAGCGUUGUUCGGAAUUACUGGGCGUAAAGCGCACGUAGGCGGCGAUUUAAGUCAGAGGUGAAAGCCCGGGGCUCAACCCCGGAACUGCCUUUGAGACUGGAUUGCUUGAACAUCGGAGAGGUGAGUGGAAUUCCGAGUGUAGAGGUGAAAUUCGUAGAUAUUCGGAAGAACACCAGUGGCGAAGGCGGCUCACUGGACGAUUGUUGACGCUGAGGUGCGAAAGCGUGGGGAGCAAACAGGA
rnacentral:rRNA from 1 species